rfam:Schistosoma margrebowiei strain Zambia genome assembly, scaffold: SMRZ_contig0002846
AUCCAUCUGACGAGUCCCAAACAGAACGAUACACGCGUCCUGUAU